UAAGGAAUAUUGGACAAUGGAGGCAACUCUGAUCCAGCCAUGCCGCGUGAAGGAAUAAGGCCCUAUGGGUUGUAAACUUCUUUUAGACGGGACAAAACCCCUUUACGUGUAAAGGGUUGAUGGUACUGUCAGAAUAAGCAUCGGCUAACUUCGUGCCAGCAGCCGCGGUAAUACGAAGGAUGCAAGCGUUAUCCGGAAUUAUUGGGUUUAAAGGGUGCGUAGGCGGACUAAUAAGUCAGUGGUGAAAGCCUGCAGCUUAACUGCAGAAUUGCCAUUGAUACUGUUAGUCUUGAGUACAGUUGAGGUAGGUGGAAUGUGUCAUGUAGCGGUGAAAUGCUUAGAUAUGACACAGAACACCGAUUGCGAAGGCAGCUUGCUAAGCUGUAACUGACGCUGAGGCACGAAAGCGUGGGGAGCAAACA
rnacentral:rRNA from 1 species